GGAGGAGGCCAUGGCUCAGUGGUAGACCAUCUGCUUGGCAUACAGAAGGUUUCUGGUUCAAUCCUUGGCACCUCCA
rnacentral:tRNA from 1 species